rnacentral:rRNA from 1 species
UACGAAGGGGGCUAGCGUUGCUCGGAAUCACUGGGCGUAAAGCGCACGUAGGCGGCUCUUUAAGUCAGGGGUGAAAUCCUGGAGCUCAACUCCAGAACUGCCUUUGAUACUGAGGAGCUCGAGUCCGGGAGAGGUGAGUGGAACUGCGAGUGUAGAGGUGAAAUUCGUAGAUAUUCGCAAGAACACCAGUGGCGAAGGCGGCUCACUGGCCUGGUACUGACGCUGAGGUGCGAAAGCGUGGGGAGCAAACAGG